rnacentral:rRNA from 1 species
GAUGAACGCUGGCGGCGUGCCUAAUACAUGCAAGUCGAGCGGACGGACGAGGAGCUUGCUGGUCUGAUGUUAGCGGCGGACGGGUGAGUAACACGUGGAUAACCUACCUAUAAGACUGGUAUAAUCACGGGAAACCGGAGCUAAUACCGGAUAAGCUUUUGAUCCGCAUGGUUCAAAAGUGAAAGUCGGUCUUGCUGUCUCUUCUAGAUGGAUCCCGGCUGAAUUAGCUAGUUGGUAAGGUAACGGGUUACCAAGGCAACUAUGCAUAGCCGACCUGAGAGGGUGAUCGGCCACACUGGAGCUGAGACGCGGUCCUUGCUCCUACGGGAGGCAGCAGUAGCGAAUGUUCCGCAGUGGGCGAAAGCCUGACGGAGCAACGCCGCGUGAGUUAUGGAGGUCUUCGGAUCGUAAUACUCUGUUAUUAGUGAAGAACAUCUGUGUAAUUAACUGUGCCCAUCUUGACGGUACCUAAUCAGAAAGCCACGGCUAACUACGUG